rnacentral:rRNA from 1 species
AAAACCCGCACGCCGGAAGACCAAGGGUUCCUGUCCAACGUUAAUCGGGGCAGGGUGAGUCGACCCCUAAGGCGAGGCUGAAAAGCGUAGUCGAUGGGCAACGGGUUAAUAUUCCCGUACUGGUGGUAACUGCGAAGGGGGGACGGAGAAAGCUAAAUCAUCCGGGCGACGGUUGUCCCGGUUUAAGCGUGCAGGUGGACUGACCAGGCAAAUCCGGUCGGUUGUUAACACUGAGGCGUGACGACGAGCCACUACGGUGGUGAAGUGAUUGAUGCUCUGCUUCCGGGAAAAGCCUCUAAGCUCCAGGUUACCAUUAAUCGUACCCCAAACCGACACAGGUGGUCAGGUAGAGAAUACUCAGGCGCUUGAGAGAACUCGGGUGAAGGAACUAGGCAAAAUGGUGCCGUAACUUCGGGAGAAGGCACGCUGGCAUUAGGUGAAGUGGUUUACCCACGGAGCU